CGGCUCCAAGUGGGAUAUCUGUGGGAGCGGAGGCUAGGCCGGAAGUGGUUCUGCGCAGGGAAUGGGGAGCGAGCCGAAUCGUCGACCGGCGGGCGGGACGCGAGGUUCGCGGAGCCGGGCUGGAGGUCAAGGAUGCAUUCCAAGAAAGUACUAAAAAUAUAUCACCAGCUCCAACCUGAUAGUUGACCUAGCCAUGAAAACCUCAUUGGAGCCUCACUAAAUCAGACCAUAACUGGCACUCUUAAAAACUCUCUCAACAAAAAAACAUCAGGAAUGACAAUCUAAGGAAGAGGAAUAAUGAAGUGAAAUACACAGAAGCAUGUUCAACUGUUGGAUCUGGAAAUAUGAAUAGCAACAAUCUUGAGAAAAAUAUUGACUCUAAUUUGCAAAGUUCCACUUCAUUUGAGCCACAUUUCAAAAAGAAAAAAAAGAGAAAUUUGAAACAUUAAAAGAAAACCGUUGGGUAAAAGAUCCAUUCGCUUUUCGAAACCCAGAAUCAAUAGUAGAGUUCAACUUGGUCCCUGAAGAAGAGAGUGAAUUACGGCAGCUCAGUUGCUCAUGUACAUUGAAGAAUGAUUAUGAAACAUUAAGUUUAUCAGCAUUUUGGAUUAAGAUAAAGGAAGACUUUCCUUUGCUGAGUAGAAAGAGUAUCCUACUAUUAUUACCAUUCACAACAACUAGUUUGUGUGAACGAGGGUUUUCGGUCUUGACCCAGGUAGAAACGAAGGAAGGAAGUGGAUCGAAGGUGCAGCAGAUCUUCGGGUAGCAUUAUCCUCUUGUGUUCCAGACUGGAACGAGCUUGUGAACAGGCCGGCACACGCAUCACGUUAAAAAAAUCUCGCCUGGUUUCGGUUUCUCUGUUUCUUAUUUUGUGAUA